rnacentral:rRNA from 1 species
UAACAUCCGGAAACGGGUGCUAAUACCGCAUAGUUUUCUUGAUCGCAUGAUUGAGAAAGGAAAGACGGCCUUUGUGCUGUCGCUUAUGGAUGGACCCGCGGCGUAUUAGUUAGUUGGUGAGGUAAUGGCUCACCAAGACGAUGAUACGUAGCCGACCUGAGAGGGUGAUCGGCCACAUUGGGACUGAGACACGGCCCAAACUCCUACGGGAGGCAGCAGUAGGGAAUCUUCCGCAAUGGACGAAAGUCUGACGGAGCAACGCCGCGUGAGUGAAGAAGGUUUUUUCCGGGAUCGUAAAACUCUGUUGUCAGAGAAGAACAAGUUGGAGAGUAACUGCUCCAGCCUUGACGGUAUCUGACCAGAAAGCCACGGCUAACUACGUGCCAGCCGCUGC